GUUUGAGGGCGCGACUUGCCUUCGUUAUUUCCUUCGUUUCUUCCCUGUGAACUCGUCGUUUUUCGUAUGAAUUUGUCGUUUUCACUGCGAAUUCGUGGUCUUCCCCGUGAAUUCGUCGUCCAGAGCAGCGAUGUCGAGCCUAUUUUGGCGAGGCCGAGAGGAAAGAAACCAGGGAGGAAGCCCACACCCAUGUCCCUCAAGCUGGAAAUCAUCGCAAAAUACGAGAACGGCAUGAAGGUGUGUGACAUCGCCAAGGAGACGGGGAAGGCCAAUUCGACCAUCAGAGGUCAUCGGGAACGGAUUAAGGAUGCUGCCAAGGGGUCGCGACUCGGCCUGGGGUGGAGAAGCGCCAGGCUCUCUGGGUGCGAGACAUGCAGAAGCAGCAGCAGCUGAGCAUCACUGAUAUCCAAGUGAAGGCUGCCUUUCACUACAGGGACAUCGAAAAGUGGUCUGCCUCUUAGUACGGAAACUUCAAGGCUAAUAUUUCAUGGUUCCGGCAAUUCAAGAAGCGCUUACCCACAUAUCGCAGUAAGUGUAAGGGCAAGGCAUUUCAACUAAAGCUUACCGAGAUCAUUGAAGGGAAGCCUACUUGCCGGAACCAAUCUUUAAUUUUAAUGAGACCAACCUCUUCUGGAGGCAGAUGCCUGCUGAAAUGGACCUUAUUGAGGAUGAGAUAUGUUUCGCAGGUUUUUUGGCUGGAGAGGAUCGCAUCUUGCUGAUGCUUGGGGGCAAUGCAAUUGGGAUUUUUAAGCUCAAACCCUUGGUCGUGUACCCUUCUGAUAGGCCUAGUACUAUUACGGGCCAGACCUCUGAAAACUUGGUCAUCUGGAGGACUAACAGGAAAGUGUUAAUGACGUCUACCAUCUGCACAGACUGGUACACCAACCAUUUCAUCCCAUCAGUUGAAGACUAUUGCAAUGAAAAGGAUAUUCCUUUCAAAAUCCUCCUUAUCAUGACUAGUGCAGGAGGACAUCCGUUUAGCCUUGAUUAUUUCCAUCCUCACAUUAAGGUUCUCUUCUGACCCCCCAAAACUGCUCACAUCAUACAGCCAGUGAGUCAUGGCAUACAGCAGAUGUUUAAGGCCCUUUACGAUCAGCAUUCUUAUGAGCAGGCCUUCAAGGCAAAACAGAGUGAGGACGGAACUACUGUUUGUGAUUUCUGGAAGUCGUACAACAUUCUCAACUACAUUGAUCAUGUUACUACAGCUUGGGAAAAAGUGACUCCAAGCGUAUGAAUGUUGCCUGGCUUAAGUUGUGCCCUCAGUUCGUGUCAGAUUUUGGAGGAUUGACUAAAAUAGAAGAAGCAGAAAGAAAAUGUAGGGAGAUUGUCGAUGCAGCAGAAUUUACUACGAAGAAAUAAAAUGUUAAAAAAUUGCCUGAAACUUACACUGAGGAGGAGUUUCCUGAAAAUAGUAAUAAAGCAGUGGUAGAGGAGGGGGCUAAGCAUGGAGAAGAGACAUACGAGUCUUCAUGACUCGACCUGUUGAUCUCAGAAUCCCUCUUUAUCCAUAAGAUGAAACCAGAGUUAAACAUCAACUCUACAGCUACACAGCUAUUUACGGUGUAAUCCUGUGACCGUAAUUGCUUGUUUAGUUGUUUAUGGUUUCCUCAGGAGAGGUUGCAGAAAUGGAAUAUUGCUUUAAAAUUGCACCAGAACUUGCCUAUAGAACGCUCAUAGCUGUGUUCCACACACGUUACGGAUGAGGGCUCUUAAGGAACUGGACAGACUGUUCAACUGAAAACAGUUUUCUUUCAUAAGAUGGAACGACAAGGACAUGGAUGAGGAUACCAACAGCACAUCAUACAACCAGGAUGGAAGUUUUGAUGAGAUCAGCAUAAAGGAAGAAAACAACAUGGACGACUUUAGUGUCUUUGUGAAUGAAGAAGAAAACCAGGAGUGUACAGAAAAAGAGAAAGAAGAGUUUGAUCCUCUGGGGGAAUUCCAGUGUCAGCAGGAAGAAGACGACUCCAACCAAGAUUUAACACUACUUCAGGAAAAGAUCCUGAAACCGAACAACCAUCAGCCUCAGAAACUUGCAUACAACCUUGCACCUCAGCAGAGAGCCUGUGGACACCAGCAUCCAUUCUGAAACCUGUAUCUGAGAGGACAGUAUCUUGCACACCAUCUCCAGUGUUUAAAACUACCUCACCCGCUCCACCUCCCCAGCCAAGCCCAGUUGCAGCUCAGCCUCCAACUGAAAUGACUGGAGCACUGGAUCCUACAUCAGUGCCAGUUAGCAGUAGUAAGAGGAGGAGGACGGAAGACCCUGCAAAUGAUCUUGGUGAAUUUCUUAGUGACCAAGCUUGCAGAUUGGAAAAAUUGGUCUACAUCACUGAGAGAAGGAACCACAUAAUGGAAAAAUGUAUGAACCAAAUGUUACACAAUCAACAGAUGCAAAUACUUCAGCAGCAACAAGAUAUUUUGCAACAGCAACAGGAACAGAGUCAGAGAGUGCAAGAAAGACUACAAAAACAGCAGAAACAACAGUAUCAGGAAAUGUUAAAUUUGCAAAGACAGCAGUUCUUGAUAAUUAAAAAAUAUUAAAGAAGUGAGUCAGUAAAGAAAUAUUAUCAGUGAAUUUAAAUAUAUUGCCUUCAUUUAGAACUUAGCUAGUACCAAUGGAAUAUAUUAUAUAUUUUUGUAUAUUUGAUGUUUAUCUUUAUUUUGAAAUAAAGGUUCAAUACAAGUGUUUGUUUUCCUCAUAUUACACUAGCAUGAUGUAAAUAUUGGCCAUACCAUGGUAAUAACAACAGGGAAGUUAUACAAUUUCAUGGGAUAUCAAAUUUAUUGUCCUAUUUUAUAUAUAAAACAUAUAUAGAAUAUAUACAAAUUAAGCAUUAGGUUUUACCUGAGCAUAGAGACUUAAACUGUAACAAAUUCUCCUACUAAUCACAGCUCAAAUACCCUCCAUAAUGUUUUCAUCACACUGAAAACUAUUAUUCAGCAGACUAUAAAGGAUAAGCUAACAUAAAAAAAUAACCACUGCCAUUGCCUUCAUUAAGGAUAAGGCAAAAUUAACCGGGUUUAUAGAUCUGAACUAAUCUUCUUUAGUUAAAUAAUUCAAUAGAUUUGACCAUUUGGUGUAAAAUAUAUGAACAUUAUAAAGCUGGUUAAAAACAUAUAAAGUUUGAAAAGAGUUCUUUUAAGAAAAUUCUGCUAAAAGAUUAGCUAACUGUGAGAACAAAUAACCUAACAACUGAAACUUUAACUUAAUGAACAAUACCACAUAUGAUUCAAAAAAAAUAUAUAUUGAAAACAUGACAAAUGAAUCAUACAAGUUUCCACUGGCUUUCAGUGGGACAGUACAUUUAGUGCUCUGUUUUAGUUUAAUCUGCAGCCCCCAGAUAAAACAACUGGAAGCUGAUUAGGCAAGCCUUUGAACAAGCCUGAGGUCGGCUACACACAAUCACAUGCCAAGCGUUGAAUUUCUUUCCAAAUUUUUGCAAUGUUUUAUAACCAUGAGGAUCAUUUAGGGCUAUCCCAUUGAUAAAAUAAUAAUUUACAAAGGGAUAGUGUCCAGCAUGGCAUAUUCAUCCUAUUAUUACUAAUAUUAUUAUUAUUAUAAAAAAAAGUCUUGGAUCAGAUCUAUGUCUAAAAACCUAAGCAUAAUUUUGUAUGGCCAAGGAAUCUAUAAACUUGUCCACUGAGGUUGAAAGUCUUGUGGAAAAUCAAGUAAUCAAAUAAACUUGGAGACAAAAGAUUUGCUAAAUAAUGCAACAAGUGAUUUUGUUAUAAGACUAAGAUCUGUAUGCUUAAAUAAAUUGUGAAAAACAUAUUUGUAAAAUUGAUAUUCAAACACUGAUCCAAAACUCUUUUUGAUGUCUGUUGUAACAGAAAAAAAAAAAAAAAUGAAAGGGGAAAUCGGGUGAUGUCAUGAGGUCUACUAAUCAACUCUUUGGUGGCAGAGCAUUGUGUACAGCCAUUUCACAGAACAAAACUACAGUGAACAUUACUCUUUUGGCAUUGAGUUAAAGCCUCAACAUGAGGCAGUAUGUGCCUUGCAAGAAACCGCUUCCCAUAUGAAAGUCAUAAAUGACCAUCACACUCUUCCAAGAAGAAUGAAAAUGCAAAAAACUCAUUAUGAGUAUUUUGAUACCAAAAACUGUAGCAACUAAUAUAAACACUUCAUAUUACAAGACUUACUUUUUCUAUAUCUAACUAAUUAUUUUAAAAAUGUAAUUCCUGAGUGUACUAUUGUCUUUGCUAGGUCAUUCCUUUUUUGUUGCACCUCUUUUGCAUAGAUAUUUGUGAAAUGCAGACUUAAUGCAUUUCUAUUCUUGGGCUCGAUAUCAACUGGACUACUACCAUAACCUUCCACUUUUAAAAUAAUAUUGUGUAAAACACAUGCAGCUGCAAUAAUUUCUGGCACCUUUUCCACUAGCUUCAUGUCUAAAUUUUUAGUCGUCUAAAUUUAUGUUUAAGGAGUUGAAAAGCUCACACAUUAAAUGUCUUUUGCACAUCUGUAAGGUUUUCCUUAUCUUCAUAAGGCACAAUCAAAUAAGAUGUUAAAGGAUAUGUUUCAUCCUCAAUAAUGUGAUACAAAAGAGGCAAAUUGCCCUUUGCAGCAAAGCUUGCAGAAGGCUGUUCCUAAACACGCAAGCAUUGUGCCCCAAUCCUGGCCACCCUGUUGUGAUGUCUAAGAACUGUAAGUUGCUAUCACAUACAGCUUGAAGUUGCAUGCUUGUAAUAUUGUCCCUGUUUUUAUAUGCCUCCACAUACUGUGCAGGAACUGGGAUGCCAAUUUGUGUGCCACCAAAUACCCCUACAACUCCUGGGAAUCCUGUUUUCUUCAUGAAAUCAUUUGCCACCUGCUCAGGCUGGUGCUUUUGUGCACCACAGACAUUCAUCAGGAAAGUUUGCAGUGUCUCUACUCUAAUUUCAUAUCUCUCUGCAACUUCUUGGAAUGACUCCUGGUUGCUCAACAGCCAUAAUAUUGUCAAAAUCUCCUUCUCUGCUGUCAAAAAAUUAUUACAGAUGUGUGUUGCCAGCAGAAAACAUAACUCCUGUCAACCGGGACACAUGAAAAACAUUUUAUUUUGAUGCCAUGUAAAAGUACUUAAUCUAUAAACUGCUGACUUCAGAUAUAUUAAAUACAAAUCCACAUGCCAUUUAUUAUAAUGGUGAAGUGAAGAAGCUAACAAUAAAAGUAUAAAUAACAAGCCAGGCAGAUCUUACUAAAAGUUUCUAACCUAAUAUCAUACAAAGGAAUCAGGUUCAGAUAGAUCACUUGUUAAUGAUGUGUACUACUCGCUCAUUUUAUAUUUGAGGCUUACCAGUUACAUUGAAAGUACUGGUGCUAACAGCUAGGUACAGCAUGAAGUAUACCUGGAAAACUGCUUGUGAUCUUUCUUGCUAGGACAUACUGAAGGGAAGGUUAUGCAGUAAGGAGGGCAAUAUACUACUUACUAGGGAAGAUAUACCCAGAAAUAACACAUUUUGUCUCUCUCUUUCUUUCUUUUUCUUUAUUGUGUAUGUUUUUAAUAGAAAAAAUA